rnacentral:lncRNA from 1 species
CCAGCUUCAGUCUGGGCUAGUACAAGCAGCCACACAUACAGACGCAUGCAUGUCGCCAAAUGAGCGAAAUAUUCUCAAGUGCGACGCUAAACCCAAUUUCACCUCUCCUCACUUCUAUUUUAGGGUUAAAAGAUUUCUGAGCCAAGGCUACAAUCAGAAAUGAAAUGAAAAUAUUCUAUCUCUUAAAAAUAUCUCUCUCUUUUUAAAAAAUUUACCUAUGGCAACAGUUUUCUAUUUGAUGGUUUAUACAUUAUUUAUCCGUGGCAACAAUCAGAAAAGAAACUAAAAUAUUAUUUUUACAAUGUGUUUUUUUAGACUUCCCUGACAGGCCAUGUGUUCUAAAGGAAAGACAAAGGCGUAUGCAUAAAAAACUGUUCUAUCAUUUUGAGUGAAAAGUCAAUUUGACCUUUAAGGGCUGGGGGAGGAAAAAGUGUCAUGAUCGGAAAAUUACAAGUUAUUGUUUUUUAUGGUCUCACUAUAAUUUUAUUUAAAAUACUUUUCAUGUUUUCUGCAUUUUAUUGAAGGGUCAUGACAGAUCCUGUAAUCUUAGGUACUGCAAUUCAAAUUUGAAUUUGAAUCGGGGCGUUGGGGUAGCCUAGUGAUUAAAGCGUUCCCUCAUCACGCUUCGAUUCCCCACAUGGGUAUAUUGUGGGAAGCCCAUGUUCAUGUAUUUCAUAUUGCUGGAAUAUUGCUAAAAGCGGCGUAAAUCAAUACUCACUCGAGUUUGAUUCCCGAUUAACCCUGAAUGGUGGCACCACACUGAUUAUGUUUCAAGGUUUGUUAACGACAUACUCUUGUGGGAUUUACCAGAGUGGUAAACGUCCGAGCCCUGCGUCACUUUGGGUCCUGGUUCGACUUUGGCAAAAUUGUUGAUUGUUCCAGACCAAUUUUAUGUCUUGUUUUACGGAUCCGCCGGUCAUAUUUUUUCAAUAAUAAUAAUAAAUAAAAUAAAUCCAUUUUACCUGCUCAAAAAAUACAAUCCUCAUGUUUUUGUUGUAAAAAAAUGUAAACUUACCCCCAAAAAAUUUUUCAUUGUUUUUUGGCCCAUAUGCACUGCAUAAAUUGCUCAAAAUAAAAUACUUUAGUAUUCAAAAGGAAAAUAUGUUUGACCGGUGAUUUUUAUUUUUUUCCCUCCUGCCUUUAGGUUUUCUGAUGACAAAAAUCUGUAAAACAAGAAAUAAAAUUGGUCUGGCCUGAGAAAAAAAUAAUUAAUAAUUUUCCCACUCAAAAUUAAAAAAAAAUACUAAUAUUUUAUUGGCCCAAACUGUAAACUCUAGAUUGUUUUUUCCCCCAUAUACACUUCAUAAGUUGCCAGAAGUAAAAUACUUUUAGUAUUUACAAGAAUAUUUCUUUGACUGGUGAUUUUUUAAAAUAUUUCUUUCCCCUCCUACCUUUGUUUUUUCUGAGGAUAAAAAUCUGUAAAACAAGAAAAAAGAUUUGUCAGGCCUUGUUGUAAUUCAAACAUCUUAUCUCCAAGCCGGGUUCAGCUUUAUUAACCCUUGAAACAGACACCAAAUUUUUAGCCCCUUAAUUAUCUGUUUAUGAUCACGAGGGUGUGACCAACAUUCAGUUGUGUGUCCAACUGCAUGCAUUGAGAUUAAGGUAGUUCAAUCUUUGACAUUUUGCUCAAACUUCCAAGGGUUUGAGGAUGUGUUAUGUAUAAUUAGCAGAUGAUCAAAAUGCAAGUCAAACUGACAAUUUUGUCAUUCGUUUCUAUGGUUACUUGACUGGUGAUUCAUCUCAAUGGCGACUUGUUACUGAUGACAAGACAGUGAAAGCUUAUGACCGAUUUCUUUUUUGGCAUGUGUGCUUUACUUGUCUUAGCCUGUGCUUCAAAUGUGAAAUAAACAAAUUUACCAAUA